UCAAAGUUAUCUUACAUUUUCUGCUCUAAAUUGCAUUGGAAAUGGAAAAUCUCCUGAAAUUGAUGAAUUUUACUUUAAAAUAAUCAUAUCCCUCUUAUUUAAUCCUUUUCACUUAACUCUGUCUCUUCCCUCUCGUACUGUUCUUUAUACCUCCACAUAUCAUAGCCUCUUUCUUCUUCUACUCCUUCCCAUUCCUUUCUCUGCAAAGCAUCAAACGUUCUCCUUCCAUCCUCAGACACACAAACAGGGAAUUCUUCUAGGCAGCUUCUGAGUGAACAUAGAAGUCCCAGACCCUCCUUUGGAAACUCUGAGGGUUGUGGUGUGCACAGGCAGGUCUAUGUCAAAAAAACUCUAAAAGUUCUACAUUUUCUCGUAUUCUCACAGGACGUUAAAUAUCACACAGUUUUGAAUUUGGGUUUGAGCCACAGCCUUGACAUUAGAGGUUAUACACUGUGACAAAGGGGAAAAAACUCCAUUGUGAACACACUAGGGGCUUCUAAGCAGAUGGAGCAAACAGCUGACUGGAAGUUCAAGACUGAAGCAGGUGGCAGGAUUCUCCAAACACCACCAAAUCCCCGUGUCAGGCGGCACAGUGAGAGCAGCAGCGGGAGUGGGGGCUGGAGCGGGCAUGUGCCAGGACGGCUGGAGUCCAGGGAGGAAAGUCACUUUCAGUGGAGUUUGGCCAGGGUGGAUGACUGCCAGACAGUGAGGGAGAUGACUCAGCCCUGAAAACCAUCCUGGUCAUGAUUUAGUGGGAGAGGAGGGAACAGAAGGGGCAGUCAGGAACCAACAGGUGGGCUGGCCCACAAGAAAGGGUCACAGACUCACAGCAGGUGGCAGAGCAUAUGGAGGAGAAAUAUGGACGUGGGCAGGUGGGCAGGGAACCAGCCGGGGGACCUGGGAGUAUAGGACAUGCAGGCUGGAGCCUUUGAUCCUCUCUGACUGCAGUUGCUCUUCCCAGCCUGUGAAGGCCAGAGGUGCCAAAGUGUAACUUGUUGUUUUAGGUUAUUGAUCUGUUUUUAAAAGAAAUGGCUUGGGAUGACUGCAACAAUAUCCAUUUUUAAGUUAAUAGUUUAGGACUUCUUUCUCUUUUCGUGAUUUUCAAAGUGCCAAGGGGAACUGAAGAGAACAAAAUAUUCCAAAGAAUUUUAGCAGAACGGUAUUGUAAAAGAUAAGAUGAACAGAAUGAAACGCUUCUUUUAGCAUUCAAUGAGAUGGUGGUGGUACAGAGAUAAAAAGUGUAAAGUCAGGUGAAAAGAGCUGGGAUGGAGCCAGAAGACCUGAAAGUGAUCCAGCUCUGCACUGGCAUACCGCUGGAGCAGGUAAGUAACCCGCCCCAAGUCUGGUUCCCAGAUCUGUACCUGGGGACAAUGCUGACUGCACACGGUUGUGGGGCUGAAGGGGUCAAUCUGGGAAAGAGAAGAACUGCUUGAAAUAAGUGGGGCACUGUCCUCAAUGAGCAGUAGUUAGGGCAGGGCUGGGGCGUAGACUUUGGACCCACACAGCCUUGAGCUGUGUUCCUGGCUCCCUCCCAGUAGUGUUUCCACAACCAAGUUCGUGCUUUACUUGCAGAGUGAGUCUAAAAGUGAAUUCUAGCUUUUGCACAGUGCUUAUAAUUUGCAGUGUGUUUCUUCAUUCCUGUUCUUAUUGCAUCUUUGUACUAACUUUGCGACAGAAGAACGACUGAUAUUAUUAGAGGCACUUUCCAAAUGCAGAACCUUGGCUCAGAGACAACAAAUACCUGAUGUCGAGACUGCUGGUGAUGUGUCUCACAUCAGAGACUCUGAGUCCAGGACUAGUACCCUUACCUCUGCCUCACAGAUAACUGUCCACUUUAGUGCAGUGGCCCUUGAGGCUUUUCUCAGCCCCUCUGCUUGCUUUGUGGUAGCAUCAUGGAGUAGUACACUGGAAUGGAGGAACCACAGGACAAGUAUGUUUUACAGAUGUGGAAACUGAGAACUGUCAUACAGUUUGGGGCAGAGCUGGGAUUCCAACUUCUGGCCUCCCUGUUCAAAGGAUGCUAUGGAUACUCCAGGCUGAAGUGGAAGGAGGUCUUACGAAGCAUGAUGAUAGAAUGUUCAAAAGAGAAUUCAAAGAGAAAUAUUCUGGUAAGAAGGAGGCAAUUAUUAGAAGAAAUAUCUAAAAACCUACCCUAAGAAAGGUCAUCUAUUCAACCUUGCACAGAAGUGGAAGGAGGAGGACUUAGACUUGGUUGACGUUCUUAUUUGUUUCUACCAUCACCUCCAUAUCCAUCUUUAAUUAUAAGAAAAAAAUUUAAGUAGGAAAGUAUAUUAAGUAAUGUUCCUUGUGGGGAAAAAAAUCUUACUUUUGAUUUUUCAUAUAUUUUCCAGAAGCUUAAUUAUGAGGAGUGCUAGCUCUUCAAGAAAAAAACUUAGAAAAUAUUUUAAAUAAAAUUAGUUUGCUUCCAAAGCCCCAGAUGGAAGAGGUACCCACUACCUGCCUGUAGCACCAAUGUCAGCUUAUCUCUAAUUACCUUACCUACUUCAGGUGUUUGUCUAAGAAUGCUGCAGUCUCAGAGCUCAGCUGGGAGUAACCCUAUGAGUGGAGAAGCAUUGACAGACCAAGUUUAAAAAUCUGGCUCCACUUUAUUGAUCAAUGAAUUUAAAAUAGGUCAGGAUUUCCUGGUGACUUACAUCAGGGUUUAAACAGUAUUUCGCAUACCAGGUGGAAGAUGUGGUCUAUAAUAAUUUCUUUGGGCACACUGGCUGUGACUGGGUGACUCCAGGGUGGCAGUUGGCUGUUAUUUAUUUAUUCUGCAGAGAUACAUGUGUCUCAAUCUGAAGAGCAGCUCAGAGAAGUUGGUAGAGUCCCAUUGUCAGAAACAAAGCAAAGCAAAAAAGUGGAAUAAGACCAACAUUCAGUAAGCGUGGUAUGACAACACCUGGAAGUGAAGAUCAAAUUUUGUACCUGCGCAUCAGCCUUAUUAUUUGAACUUCAUAUUGGAGCUGGAAGCCAAGAGUUCUAAACCUAUUCCUAGAUAUAGACAAGCUUCAUGUGCAACAUGACCAGACAACUGAACUGAUGAUGAAUAGUGUAAAGCUGCAUCUCCUCCCACAGGUUGGGGAUGGUGGCAACGUCCAGAUAAAGGACAUACAUCCUGAGAGAAGGCAUGUUGUCAUCACUGAUCACAGAGGGUCUGGGUUGGACAACUGAUCUCCUAAUUGACUCCUCAGCAAUUACGACACAGUGAUUUCCUGGGUCAAUCUUGAUUUCAGAAAUGUUCAAAAUAAAUGUGUCACACACAAACUCUCCACACACGAUGGAGAAAACACUGUUCUGCCCGAGUGUGGCUCACUGAUCCAGGGGCACCUACCUGGGGAAUGAUGAAGCCAUCCUGAGAUGUGCUUAUGUGGGCAGCCUCCCAGCAGAACAACACCUUCUCAGAUGCAGGUCACCAUAUUCAUUCCCUUUCUAAGCAUUUUGGCUGAGAAAGGAGCUUUUGGUUUAGGUAGCAAAUACAAGCAAAGAUGUCAAUAACACCUUGCUUUGAAGGAUGCUUUCAUGUUUUAACAAGUGAUCUCAAGUCUAUCUGACCCACAUGGCCACUCUAAGUCAUGGGGAGAACAGUGCUGCAUGACUUUACAUGGGUCAGGCAGGAACAUGCAUUUAUUACAAGGCAAUACAUAAGAAAAACUUAGAAGAUGGAAACUAUGGGGCAAACAGUGGAUGUGUCAACAUGAAGGGAAAUUUUGAUUUUGCAUCCUCCAGUGACUCAAGAGUUGUGGCAUAAGUAGACUGGGAGACUAGCCCUAGGUAAAGCCCAUACUGAGAAAAAUUAUCACCCCUUAUCCUUUCUAAAAUCAAAGAUGUACCAGCUGGGGCUCAGAGUAGUGCUGUAGCAAGUACCUGGCCAGGUGUGACUAGACCGGUAUCAUGGCCUGGAAGGUGGUAUGCAUUUUCACUAGGUCUCACUGACUUUUCCCAUCCAAGAUUGGGCUUUAAAAUAUAUUUUUACAUAAUAUGAUCCAAUCACUAUCUUGUUAAAGUUAUAUAGCACUGAAGAAUAACAUAGGCUACAAGAUUGAUAGCAUGGAAUUGAAAAAAUGCAUAUAUAUUUGUAACUCUAUUAAUAGUUUGCUGGGAUUUUUACUCAUAACAAGAAUGUGAGUUUCAUGGGGUUUCAAGAGUAAAUCUAGGGCUAGUCUGAACAAGAGACUGACCUCAUGGGAAACUGGGUUUUCUUGAUAACCAGAAAUAUUGAAACUUGGAUUUUGGAUUAGUUAUCUGAAUCUUUUGAAAAAUUAUCACUUUGGUUCCCCAUCUGAAAAUAGGAGCAAAAUCAUGUUUCUACCUUCCUCUUGAGGGUGUAAGUCAACUAAACAAAAUGAAGUGAGCAAAGCUCUUUGCAUUUCUUGGGAAGAGAGUGCUAAGGAGUGACUGCUUACUAAAUACUCAGUUCUGAGUGGAGCCCAGAUUUCACAGGCUUACUUAGCUGCCAUGCAUCUGACUUCCCAGCAGUACACACUGGAAAUGAGAUGAGCUAGUGGCACUCAGAUUUAUGAUCUGGAGACUUGAGUUUUAAUUCUGUCUCUUGAGGGCUGCAGACACAUCUUUGUCUUGUCUCCUAAUUUCCUUUAUGUUUAAGAGAAGAAGAUCACUAUUCACUUCCUUAAAGGAAAUUGGUGACCUAUACCAGAAAUGUAGUCAAAGUGAUAUAGUAGGGUUCUUAUUUUGUGGCAUCCUUAUGCGAUGUUCAAGUAUUCCAGAAAAUCGCUUUUUAUCUCUGAUUCGAUGACUUGUUAAUGCUAAACUUGUCAAAAUGUGGUUUUACUUCCAGAAUUUAAAUGUAGUUAACGUACUUAAUAUCUCUUAACUACUGUUUAUAACAACCAUCUUUUCCUCUUCUUGUCCUUUUACUUCCACCAAUAUCUAGGAAUGGCAAAGCAUAAUUAGAAUGAAAAGUGAUACUUGGUUUAAACUCAGGCAGGAGAGGAGGAGGAAUUGAAAAGAAAUAGAACAUGGAAAAGAUAUAGGAAUAACAGAAACACCAUUCUUUACAUCACUUGACAGUUUUUGACACUGACUUACUCAGUUUGUAAGUUCUUAGACGAUUUACAAUGAAUAAAAGGAGAUACAGAAUUUUGAUGAUUUGCCAAAGGACGCACAGUUACCCAAUGCUUGAACAGGGUUUGAAUGCAAGACCAAGGGAUUCAAGCCCAUGCUCUUAGUAGAGGGAAAGAAGGGCGAAAGAGUAGACUCAUGGCUUCUAUAGCAGCUGUAGAAGAAAAGCUGUAGAUGGAGAAGAUGGCUGGAGGUGAGAGAAGGAAGAGGACAGACCAAGAUGGGCAACCAAGAUGUGUUCUGUAAAACUAAUUCUUCAUAGAAGCAUGCCUUUUGUGCCUUCAAUACAAUCAUUCACUUUAUUGGGUUUCAUUCAAAGGGUCUAGCAGAUUCAAGGUGCUGUCUGAAAUUUCUAGACAUUUGCACUGGUUUUGUGAUUUUCUACUUUUAAAGGAAUUUAUUUCUGUGCCACAGAGUCUAUAUAAGAAUAAUUUAUUCCAAAAUACUUGCAGAGUGCCCAAGACAUUAUUUAUCUUUGCAUCCUAGAAUUGGCCUUUCUAUCUUAGAGAUAAGUAUAUUGAGGAAAAAAAGGAAAAUCCAACUGAUUUUAGAUUUUAGAGUAGAUGUUUGGAAGGACUUCAAGGUAUGUAACACCCAUGAGGGUUUUGAUGGUUUGUUUAUUUGCUUUUCAGUCUUUUAUUUUCAUACAUAUGUAUAUAUUUACAAAAGUAUAUACAAAUUAUUUACUAAUCUGAUUUUUUUCUAUGUAUAUUUUGGAUGUGUUUCCAAGGAAAUACAGCACAUCAAUAUCUUUUUUUGUUGUUUUUUUAUUGACUUUUUUUUAGAGCAGUUAAGGUUCACAGCAAAAUUGAGAAGAAAAUAUAGAGAUUUUCCAUAUAUUCCCUGACCCCACACAUGGGUAGCCUCCCCCAUUAUCAACAUCCCCCACCAGAUAGUACCUGUGUUACAAUUGAUGAACUACAUUGACA